rnacentral:rRNA from 1 species
GACGAACCGUGCGAGCGUUAUUCGGAAUCACUGGGCUUAAAGGGCGCGUAGGCGGGCCGCCAGGUCCGGGGUGAAAGCCUCCAGCUCAACUGGAGAAGUGCCUUGGAAACCGGCGGCCUCGAGGGAGGCAGAGGCGUGCGGAACUUCGGGUGGAGCGGUGAAAUGCGUAGAUAUCCGAAGGAACACCGGUGGCGAAAGCGGCGCGCUGGACCUCUUCUGACGCUGAGGCGCGAAAGCCAGGGGAGCAAACGGG